UACGUAGGGGGCAAGCGUUGUUCGGAAUUACUGGGCGUAAAGCGCGUGUAGGCGGUCUGUUAAGUCUGGCGUGAAAGCUCUCGGCUAAACCGGGAGAGGUCGUUGGAUACUGGCAGACUAGAGGACGGUAGAGGCGUGUGGAAUUCCGGGUGUAGUGGUGAAAUGCGUAGAUAUCGGGAGGAACACCAGUGGCGAAGGCGACUACCUGGCCUGUUCUUGACGCUGAGGCGCGAAAGCUAGGGGAGCAAACGGG
rnacentral:rRNA from 1 species